GUUUGUCGCGUCUGCUGUGAAAUCCCGAGGCUCAACCUCGGGCUUGCAGUGGGUACGGGCAGACUAGAGUGCGGUAGGGGAGAUUGGAAUUCCUGGUGUAGCGGUGGAAUGCGCAGAUAUCAGGAGGAACACCGAUGGCGAAGGCAGAUCUCUGGGCCGNNACUGACGCUGAGGAGCGAAAGCAUGGGGAGCGAACAGGAUUAGAUACCCUGGUAGUCCAUGCCGUAAACGUUGGGCGCUAGAUGUAGGGACCUUUCCACGGUUUCUGUGUCGUAGCUAACGCAUUAAGCGCCCCGCCUGGGGAGUACGGCCGCAAGGCUAAAACUCAAAGGAAUUGACGGGGGCCCGCACAAGCGGCGGAGCAUGCGGAUUAAUUCGAUGCAACGCGAAGAACCUUACCAAGGCUUGACAUACACCGGAAACGGCCAGAGAUGGUCGCCCCCUUGUGGUCGGUGUACAGGUGGUGCAUGGUUGUCGUCAGCUCGUGUCGUGAGAUGUUGGGUUAAGUCCCGCAACGAGCGCAACCCUCGUUCUAUGUUGCCAGCGGGUUAUGCCGGGGACUCAUAGGAGACUGCCGGGGUCAACUCGGAGGAAGGUGGGGAUGACGUCAAAUCAUCAUGCCCCUUAUGUCUUGGGCUUCACGCAUGCUACAAUGGCCGGUACAAAGGGCUGCGAUACCGUAAGGUGGAGCGAAUCCCAAAAAGCCGGUCUCAGUUCGGAUUGAGGUCUGCAACUCGACCUCAUGAAGUCGG
rnacentral:rRNA from 1 species